rnacentral:lncRNA from 1 species
UGUUGUAGGGCAGGACCGGACAGCAGCAAGCAAUCCAUCCACCUAGCAGCACUCAUGACAUAGUGUUGAAAAUAAUUCAUGCAUGCAUGACAAGGGUUAGCUGCUCUGUGGAGCCUCCGAUCAUGCCAUGUUCAGUGUGAAAGUGUUUGCCGUAGUGUGAUAUGUAUGAUGUGUGGGACAGGGGGGCAUAUCUUCACCCGUGGUCGCUAUCCGGCGAAACCCUGCCUUCCCCGG